CAGCAGCCGCGGUAAUACGUAGGGUGCAAGCGUUAAUCGGAAUUACUGGGCGUAAAGCGUGCGCAGGCGGUUUGUUAAGACAGAUGUGAAAUCCCCGGGCUCAACCUGGGAACUGCAUUUGUGACUGGCAAGCUAGAGUGUGGCAGAGGGGGGUGGAAUUCCGCGUGUAGCAGUGAAAUGCGUAGAUAUGCGGAGGAACACCGAUGGCGAAGGCAGCCCCCUGGGCCAACACUGACGCUCAUGCACGAAAGCGUGGGGAGCAAACAGGAUUAGAUACCCGGGUAGUCCCUGUCUCUUAUAC
rnacentral:rRNA from 1 species